UUAGCCAUUAUGUCCAUGUCCUGUUGUCCCAGAUAAUGGUGUUUUGACUAAUGAGGAAGGCACUGGAGCUCUCCACCUCAAAACAGGGCUUAAAAAUUCCAGUGUACAGCAAAACAGUUGAGCAGAUUGGUUUGGGUUUUGAUCCUUUCUGGCCAAUGGGAUUCAGCCUGAGCAAUGUUUUUCCUGCUUUAUCUCCAUGAUAAACAUUGGAAACUGCUCUUGCUGAUAGAAUACCUGGAAACUUGUUGUUGAAGAGCUCCAGAGCUUUCUUUUCCUUAUUUAUGACUCUGCCAGGAACGGGGGAAGCUGAGGAAGAUCAGGGAGCUCUGCACACCUCAAGGCUCACCCACCUGGCUGCAUGGUCCCAGAGCAGAUUUCCUGCUGGUUGAUCCCAAAACUCCCCCUCUUUGACACCUCCUAAGAGCUGCCUGGAUUGGUCCUCACUGUUGGGAACGUGCCCCAGCACAGGCUGGAGAACCUCUCGGGCGCCCCACUGGGAAUUGCUUCAUGUGGAUUUAGAAAGAACUUGGAUAUUUUUCAGGCAAAGGCAC